rnacentral:rRNA from 1 species
GACGAACGCUGGCGGCGUGCCUAAUACAUGCAAGUUGAGCGCUGAAGGUUGGUACUUGUACCGACUGGAUGAGCAGCGAACGGGUGAGUAACGCGUGGGGAAUCUGCCUUUGAGCGGGGGACAACAUUUGGAAACGAAUGCUAAUACCGCAUAAAAACUUUAAACACAAGUUUUAAGUUUGAAAGAUGCAAUUGCAUCACUCAAAGAUGAUCCCGCGUUGUAUUAGCUAGUUGGUGAGGUAAAGGCUCACCAAGGCGAUGAUGCAUAGCCGACCUGAGAGGGUGAUCGGCCACAUUGGGACUGAGACACGGCCCAAACUCCUACGGGAGGCAGCAGUAGGGAAUCUUCGGCAAUGGACGAAAGUCUGACCGAGCAACGCCGCGUGAGUGAAGAAGGUUUUCGGAUCGUAAAACUCUGUUGGUAGAGAAGAACGUUGGUGAGAGUGGAAAGCUCAUCAAGUGACGGUAACUACCCAGAAAGGGACGGCUAACUACGU